rnacentral:rRNA from 1 species
AUUGAACGCUGGCGGCAGGCCUAACACAUGCAAGUCGAACGGUAGCACAGAGAGCUUGCUCUCGGGUGACGAGUGGCGGACGGGUGAGUAACGUCUGGGAAACUGCCCGAUGGAGGGGGAUAACUACUGGAAACGGUAGCUAAUACCGCAUAACGUCGCAAGACCAAAGUGGGGGACCUUCGGGCCUCACACCAUCGGAUGUGCCCAGAUGGGAUUAGCUAGUAGGUGGGGUAAUGGCUCACCUAGGCGACGAUCCCUAGCUGGUCUGAGAGGAUGACCAGCCACACUGGAACUGAGACCCGGUCCAGACUCCUACGGGAGGCAGCAGUGGGGAAUAUUGCACAAUGGGCGCAAGCCUGAUGCAGCCAUGCCGCGUGUAUGAAGAAGGCCUUCGGGUUGUAAAGUACUUUCAACGGGGAGGAAGGCGGUGAAGUUAAUAGCUUCACCGAUUGACGUUACCCGCAGAAGAAGCACCGGCUAACUCCGUGCCAGCAGCCGCAGUAA